rnacentral:sRNA from 1 species
AUGUUGUCUGCAAAAAGUCUCCUGAUGAUAUCAAUGCUACUUAUGAUGAGAACAAGGAAAUCAAGUUCUCUAAAAAACUUCCAAACAACCGUCUUUGCAAGGUUUUACAAGACUAUUUUGAACAAUGGCUAAGACUGAUGUUGAGGUGGGAUCCCAAGGCCAGAGGGGGAGGAAUCAUUAAUAUCAAAGGAAUUGAAAGACCAAAGUGUUUUUGCUUGUUGGAAAUAUUUACAGAACUCAAGCUAAUACGUAUACUCUAUGUGGAGAUGAGUACAGUCUUGCCCAUA